UCCCAUAUAGUGUAGUGGUUAGCAUAUCAGGUUUUCACUUCUGCUCCUACCUCUACCUCCCGAGGUAGGAGUGCCACAGUCAAAAAACCCUGGAGACCCGGGUUCAAACCCCGGUGUGGGAA